UUGACCCAAGCAAUGAAGAUUAAACCUUAUCCUUCUUAAUAGCUAGCUGACAGAAUUUUUUCUUUAUCAAAGCAUAAAUGCUAGCAGACUGUAGAGGAGAAUCAGAGGAGAAGCUUUAUGCUGGACGUUUAUAUUCAAAAGGAGACCGAGUUGUGAGAACGGAGAAUAUUAUUUGCAAUUGUCAUUUGAGUACGAGUUUCAGAUGUCAUUCCGGAGUCUUGUGGCUGGGUGAAAUAACAGAUGCACUUUGACACUAAGGGGCCCGGAGCGAACCCCACAACCGAACGCCUGUUUAAGAAACCGGAAGAGCUGGCACAAUGCAUCAGAGAUUGGACCGGACUGGCACACACAGACUUUGAAAGGUGUGGGAAGAAACAGCUCGCAGUUGCACGCCAGUGCUCUCCACAGUCACACUCCCGCGCGGGUGGCACGAUGACCUGCCCUGUUCCGCUCUUACAGGGCUUCCUACUGGUACUUCACAAAAAACCAAAGGAUUAAUGGUAAAUAUGGAAUAAGGGGUCAUGUAAUGGGUCUUCCUUCACCUACUGCUUUGUGUUUUCAGAUAUACAGCAUAAUAUUUCUGUCAUACAAGUCUGUAUAUAUACUGUAUACACUAGAUAUGAAUAUACACUUUUUACUAACAUUUAUGGCAAUUACGUGAUAAGUCUGAGAGAUACAUACCAUACUGUAAUGUAAUACUCUUUUAUAUUCAAUUUUUUUGUACACUCACAUAUACUCUUUGCUUUGAGGCAAAUGAGAGGUGCUAUUUUAUAAUGAUUUUUAAACAUCAUCUUUGGAGAAAAACGGAAUAAUGAUAUACUGUAAUAACAAGAAAAUAAAAUAAUAUGGGGGUCAGUAAGACAUGAAAAAAUGAAUUAAGGGAGAAGAGAGGGAGAAAGCUGAUAAGCAUACGGAGUACUAUGUGUACAGCCUAUCUGUGCUUCUGUCCAAGAACAACACUUGAUAAACAUUUGUACCCCUUUUAACAUCUGCUAUUUGCUUUAUUUCAUGGAUGUUACUUGAAAAUGAUUAUUACCAUAUCAACAAAAUAAUAAUUUUUAAAAAUAUUGAAUGUCUGAAAAUGUCAGUAGCAAUUUUUGCUUUCAAUUGCACUUUUCUUUUCCUGCUGCCAUGAAUUUUUACACCUGUGGGAAAUCAAAUUCAUAAUUUUCACAUUUCUUAAAAUCCUGAAUGACUUACAGUGAAUGAUCUAUAAUAGAAGCAAUAUUCAGAGAUGAGGACAAAAAUUAGUGUUAAUUGACGAGUGAACUCCAGGUUCCCAACAAAAUUGUUGCUGCUAAUUACUAUUUUUUUCAGUGAAUGACCUUCAGUCUUGUUAGGAAUAAUUAUAUCCUGCCAAGGGACAUAUUUAAUGUGCUGGGUAUUAUUUCAGUAGGUGCUCGGAAGGAAAUGACAGCAUAAAUAGAUUCAGCGGGCAUUAGAGAAUCCUUUUGGUGUUGCUCUGGGGGAGACUUAUCUUAAAAUAUUAAAAGAUACUGUAGGGUCUUUUCAAAUUUGAUUUUAUCAUCAUUUUCUGUAUAUGAUUUUGCAUUUUGAAGGAAUGCAAAAAAUGUUUGGAAUUCUUCGGGCCUGGGUUAUGUCAGUUUGGAUGAUUCCCUUUUCAGGGCAAAUAAAAUUCAGGUAACCGUGUGUUGACACUGUAGCUACAAAGGUGAUAUGCAUCAACCCAAAAAAGCAUUGGAAUUGAAGCACACAACCAGACCACAAUGUGAAACAAGCAGAGAUUGGGAGGAUUUUAAUGUGAUUGCUCUGACGGAGUCAAGCAUCUCUAAAAGCAUAAAGCCCAUAUAGCAUGGAUAUUUAUCAGGUAACUGCCAAAGUGAUACUGUAAUUUGAACGCAAAUCUUUUCACAUAAAAAUGAUACCUUUUUAUACAGGUUGGUAUGCUCUAAGAAGAGUUAUUUUCAUUGAAACAAGGAAAAUAUCUGCUCUUAGAUAUACAUACUGUAUGCAUAUUUAUGCACAUGUAGUGGUUCCAUUUCUAAACAUUAAGCAGGUAUCUGUUAAUGGAGAUGUCAUGUCUUUGAAGGGGAAUUUUUGUUUGUUACAACUGAAAGAUUUCACUGAAAUAUUGACAGUAUUAUUUAUUUAUUUUUAUU